rnacentral:rRNA from 1 species
AUGGCGAUUCGUGAGGGAACGCAGCUGAUGGCCACUCCUGCGUACAGUUCAUCAUCUUGUUCUGAACUUCUGACGGUGGUCAUGAAGAACAGUGCGGCUUUGGGGUUCCUUGAUUUUUCUUUUUUCUUUUUAUUAAAAAUGCCGCACAUUAAUCUUGGUCUUGCGUGGGCUUGGGAAUAUAAGUGGGUACAUACAAACAACUAUGAUCUUGCUCCAGGACAAAUUGUUCUAGUAUCUGUUCUCGUUUGUUCAGAAAACAACACUUCUCGUUUAAUGCUGUUCCCUUUCACUUUGUUCAGCAAACAAUUGUUUCAUUUGUCGCUGCAGGGCCGGAAGGGGAAACUGAUCAACUUGGCGGUGUAA